CACAUAUCAAUAAGCGGAGGAAAAGAAACCAACAGGGAUUGCCCCAGUAACGGCGAGUGAAGCGGCAACAGCUCAAAUUUGAAAUCUGGCCCCUUGGGGCCCGAGUUGUAAUUUGCAGAGGAUGCUUUUGGCGAGGCGACUUCCGAGUUCCCUGGAAUGGGACGCCAUAGAGGGUGAGAGCCCCGUCUGGUUGUACGCUGAGCCUCUGUAAAGCUCCUUCGACGAGUCGAGUAGUUUGGGAAUGCUGCUCUAAAUGGGAGGUAUAUGUCUUCUAAAGCUAAAUAUUGGCCAGAGACCGAUAGCGCACAAGUAGAGUGAUCGAAAGAUGAAAAGCACUUUGAAAAGAGAGUUAAAAAGUACGUGAAAUUGUUGAAAGGGAAGCGCCUGUGACCAGACUUGGGCCCGGUGAAUCACCUAGCGUUCUUCGCUGGGGCACUUUGCCGGGCUCAGGCCAGCAUCAGUUUGCUCCGGGGGAUAAAGGCUCUGGGAACGUGGCUCCUCCGGGAGUGUUAUAGCCCACUGCGCAAUACCCUGGGGCGGACUGAGGUUCGCGCAUCUUGCAAGGAUGCUGGCAUAAUGGUCACCAGCGACCCGUCUUGAAACACGGACCAAGGAGUCGUCUUCGUAUGCGAGUGUUCGGGUGUUAAACCCCUACGCGGAAUGAAAGUGAACGCAGGUGAGAGCUUCGGCGCAUCAUCGACCGAUCCUGAUGUUCUCGGAUGGAUUUGAGUAAGAGCAUACGGGGCCGGACCCGAAAGAAGGUGAACUAUGCCUGUAUAGGGUGAAGCCAGAGGAAACUCUGGUGGAGGCUCGCAGCGGUUCUGACGUGCAAAUCGAUCGUCAAAUAUGGGCAUGGGGGCGAAAGACUAAUCGAACCUUCUAGUAGCUGGUUCCG
rnacentral:rRNA from 2 species